UACAGAGGGGGCAAGCGUUGUUCGGAAUUACUGGGCGUAAAGGGCGCGUAGGCGGCCUGUUAAGUCGAACGUGAAAUCCCCAGGCUUAACCUGGGAACUGCGUCGGAUACUGGAUGGCUUGAAUCCGGGAGAGGGAUGCGGAAUUCCAGGUGUAGCGGUGAAAUGCGUAGAUAUCUGGAGGAACACCGGUGGCGAAGGCGGCAUCCUGGACCGGCAUUGACGCUGAGGAGCGAAAGCCAGGGGAGCAAACGGG
rnacentral:rRNA from 1 species